rnacentral:rRNA from 1 species
AUUGAACGCUGGCGGCAGGCCUAACACAUGCAAGUCGAACGACUGGCGGACGCGUGAGCAAUGUCUGGGAAACCGCCUGAUGGAGGGGGAUAAUUACUGGAAACGGUAGCUAAUACCGCAUACCAUCGGAUUUGCCCAGAUGGGAUUAGCUAGUAGGUGGGGUAAAGGCUCACCUAGGCGACGAUCCCUAGCUGGUCUGAGAGGCUGACCAGCCACACUGGAACUGAGACACGGUCCAGACUCCGACGGGAGGCAGAAGUGGGGAAUAUUGCACAAUGGGCGCAAGCCUGAUGCAGCCAUGCCGCGUGUAUGAAGAAGGCCUUCGGGUUGUAAAGUACUUUCAGCGGGGAGGCGUUACCAGCAGAAGAAGCACCGGCUAACUCCGUGCCAGCCGCCGCGGUAAUUC